rnacentral:ncRNA from 1 species
UAUAUUGCGAGUUUGAUCCUAGCUCAGAAUUAACGCUAGAAAUAUACAUUACACAUGCAAAUUAAUGAUAAUAUCAUAGUGUAUAGGUGAGGAUAUAUAAAUUUUUAAUUUUAAAUAGAUUAUAAAUUUUAUUAAAUAAUAAUCUAUAAGCGCAAAAAUAUAUGUACUAUAUUAAAAAUUAAUAUUAUUUAAAAUAAAAUUUAUAUUUGAUUAACUAGUUGGUAAUUUAAAAGACUACCAAGGUUAUUAUCAAAAAUUGGUUUGAAAGAAUGUACAAUCACAUUAGGAUUGAAAUAAAGCCUAAAUUUUUAUAAAAAAUCAGCAGUGAGGAAUAUUUUACAAUAAGUGUAAGCUUGAUAAAGUAAUAUUUCUUUUAGGAAGACAGUAUUAUUAAAAUAUUGUAAACUUUUUAUUUUAUUUUUAAAUAUUGAUAAAAAUAAAAAAUAGUAUUUGCUAAUUUCUGUGCCAGCAAAAAGCGGUAAUACAGAAAAUGCAAGCGUUAUUCAUUUCUUUAUUGGUAAUCCUUAAAGCGCUUUACGCCUAA